rnacentral:rRNA from 1 species
UACGGAGGAUGCGAGCGUUAUCCGGAUUUACUGGGCGUAAAGCGCGUGUAGGUGGUUUGGUAAGUAGGGCGUGAAAGCUCCUGGCUCAACUGGGAGAGGACGUUCUAAACUGCCAAGCUUGAGGAUGGUAGAGGGCGGUGGAAUUCCGGGUGUAGCGGUGGAAUAUGCAGAUAUCCGGAGGAACACCAGUGGCGAAGGCGGCCUCCUGGACCACUCCUGACACUCGGACGCGAAAGCUAGGGUAGCAAACGGGAUUAGAGACCCCGUUAGUCCUAGCCCUAAACGAUGUAGACUUGGCGUCGGUGGUUUAAUCGCCAUCGGUGUCGUAGCUAACGCGUUAAGUCUACCGCCUGGGGACUACGGCCGCAAGGUUAAA